rnacentral:rRNA from 1 species
GACGAACGCUGGCGGCGUGCUUAACACAUGCAAGUCGAACGGAAAGGCCCUGCUUUUGUGGGGUGCUCGAGUGGCGAACGGGUGAGUAACACGUGAGUAACCUGCCCUUGACUUUGGGAUAGCUUCAGGAAACUGGGGCUAAUACCGGAUAGGAGCUCCUGCUGCAUGGUGGGGGUUGGAAAGUUUCGGCGGUUGGGGAUGGACUCGCGGCUUAUCAGCUUGUUGGUGGGGUAGUGGCUUACCAAGGCUUUGACGGGUAGCCGGCCUGAGAGGGUGACCGGCCACAUUGGGACUGAGAUACGGCCCAGACUCCUACGGGAGGCAGCAGUGGGGAAUAUUGCACAAUGGGCGGAAGCCUGAUGCAGCAACGCCGCGUGCGGGAUGACGGCCUUCGGGUUGUAAACCGCUUUCGCCUGUGACGAAGCGUGAGUGACGGUAAUGGGUAAAGAAGCACCGGCUAACUACGUGCCAGCAGCCGCGGUGAUACGUAGGGUGCGAGCGUUGUCCGGAUUUAUUGGGCGUAAAGGGCUCGUAGGUGGUUGAUCGCGUCGGAAGUGUAAUCUUGGGGCUUAACCCUGAGCGUGCUUUCGAUACGGGUUGACUUGAGGAAGGUAGGGGAGAAUGGAAUUCCUGGUGGAGCGGUGGAAUGCGCAGAUAUCAGGAGGAACACCAGUGGCGAAGGCGGUUCUCUGGGCCUUUCCUGACGCUGAGGGGCGAAAGCGUGGGGAGCGAACAGGCUUAGAUACCCUGGUAGUCCACGCUGUAAACGGUGGGUACUAGGUGUGGGGUCCAUUCCACGGGUUCCGUGCCGUAGCUAACGCUUUAAGUACCCCGCCUGGGGAGUACGGCCGCAAGGCUAAAACUCAAAGGAAUUGACGGGGCCCCGCACAAGCGGCGGAGCAUGCGGAUUAAUUCGAUGCAACGCGUAGAACCUUACCUGGGUCUGACAUGGAUCGGGAGUGCUCAGAGAUGGGUGUGCCUCCUUUGGGGUCGGUUCACAGGUGGUGCAUGCCUGUCGUCAGCUCGUGUCGUGAGAUGUUGGGUUAAGUCCCGCAACGAGCGCAACCCUUGUUCACUGUUGCCAGCACGUUAUGGUGGGGACUCAGUGGAGACCGCCGGGGUCAACUCGGAGGAAGGUGGGGAUGACGUCAAGUCCUCAUGCCCCUUAUGUCCAGGGCUUCACGCAUGCUACAAUGGCUGGUACAGAGAGUGGCGAGCCUGUGAGGGUGAGCGAAUCUCGGAAAGCCGGUCUCAGUUCGGAUUGGGGUCUGCAACUCGACCUCAUGAAGUCGGAGUCGCUAGUAAUCGCAGAUCAGCAACGCUGCGGUGAAUACGUUCCCGGG